rnacentral:tRNA from 1 species
UCCCUUGUAGCUCAGAUGGUAAAGGAUCUGCCUGCAAUGCAGGAGACCAGGGUUCGAUCCCUGGGUGGGAA